CGGAUCAUAAGGCAGCAUUGCUGUCGAAAUCGUCUGCAAUCCGGGCAAUGCCACGCCAGUGGAAUGACGACUGUUCCAAUCGCCGCAAUCUUGUUGCGGUAUCAAU
rnacentral:ncRNA from 1 species